AUUAAAAUGCACAUGCACCUAAGUUUCGGCCUUAGACACGAAAAACAAUUUUCUUUUAAUA
rnacentral:tRNA from 1 species